UGUUCCGUGGUGUAGGUGGUUAACGCACCCUGCAGCAAAUUGGGGAGUCGUGGGUUCAAAUCCCACCAGAAAUA
rnacentral:tRNA from 1 species